GUUGACUCAUUGUAGUUAAUGUGAAAGCGAAGUCGACUUUAUUUCAGUACUACUAACUAGCCUAUGAGCCUCGGAUUAAGCCCGUGUACGAGUUGCUAAGUUGCUGCACUUGUCCCCGCUCCUCCAGCAGACAGGACAGGAGCACGGACUGCUGGCCUACAGAGCAACCCUAUGGCCUGGUAAUGAAGAUAUGCCAAAUAAAUAACCAAAGAGAGUCAGAGGAAUCCCCAAGUGGUACCAUUUCAUCUGGACUGGACCCCAGCUGUUCCUAGAGUGGUACCAUCUCAUCUGGACUGGACCCUAGCUGUUCCUAGAGUGGUACCAUCUCCUCUGGACUGGACCCCAGCUAUUCCUAGAGUGGUACCAUCUCAUCUGGACUGGACCCCAGCUGUUCCUAGAGUGGUACCAUCUCAUCUGGACUGGACCCCAGCUGUUCCUAGAGUGGAACUAGCGCA